GAGUAAUCCUAACGUGUAGCAUCUCUCUGCAUACCAGCGCUGCACCAUGGGUGCCCUCUCACCCCCUGGGGUCAGGACAGAUGGCGAGCUCCUUCCAGCUGCACUUGCAACAUCCUACUUUCCCUUGAUGCUUCAGGGAAUCUGCGACAUCUUCAGAAGUGCCCUUGACAAGGUUCAAGAGAAAAAUUGUUGACCUGAGAUGGGGAAGCAUUGGAAGAAGAGUGCACUUACUUCCAGGUAAGUGCAAGCUUAAAUCCUGCCUUAAAUAGGGAAGGACUUACCAGAGAGAGCUCCUACCCUGAGAGUGCGUGUGGCUGUGCUGGCGGGGAGGGAGCAUGAUACAAACAGGCACUGCUCCAUCCCAUGUGGGCUGUCAGCAGCUUGGCAGGGUGCUGAGGAUUUUUCCUUGAGAUCUAUUUCCAGGCUGAUCCAGCUGUUGACUGAGAAACCAAAGCUCUUGCAAUGCGUGGACUCUGACCUGCCUUGCUGCCCAGACCGCCAGCAGUCCUGAGAAAUGUUGUUGUGACAGAGUGACAGCUGUCUUGCAAAGCAGAUCUUAGCCUUGCCAGGUCCAGUCUGAGUUUAUGCACACAGCUUCCUGACCUCCUACGCUCCUUGUGAAAUUUAACUAGAGAUGAUAGUCUUCACUUCCUUUUAAACGGGGGUGAGAUCUCUGCGUGCUAUGAUGCAGCUGAUGUUCUCCACACUAGCGAUGACUACACUUCAGGGCUGGGGUGAAGUGAGCCAUAUCCAUGUCACCUUUCUACUUCACAGAAAUAAUUCAGAUUAAUUAGUUAAAGAUAACAAAGCAUUGUGACAUUUUCGUCUGAAAAUGCUAUAUCUAAGUAG
rnacentral:lncRNA from 1 species